rfam:Mycobacterium rhodesiae JS60 ctg135, whole genome shotgun sequence.
CGAGUUGGCCGGGCGGCCGCGGCUCUAUGUGAGUCGAGGAAAGUCCGGACUUCACAGAGCAGGGUGAUUGCUAACGGCAAUCCGAGGUGACUCGCGGGACAGUGCCACAGAAAAGAGACCGCCGUCCGUCAGGGCGGUAAGGGUGAAACGGUGCGGUAAGAGCGCACCAGCAUCCCGGGCGACCGGGGUGGCUCGGUAAACCCCACCCGAAGCAAGGCCAAGAGGCCGCACCUGGUGCGGCUGCGCAGGCGCUCGAGGGCUGCUCGCCCGAGCCUGCGGGUAGGCCGCUCGAGGCACCCGGCGACGGUGUGCCCAGAUGGAUGGUCGCCGCCGCCCUGCCACGGUUACCCGGGGCAGGGUGGGACAGAAUCCGGCUUACAGGCCAACUCGUUCG